rnacentral:SRP_RNA from 2 species
GCCGGGCGCGAUGGCUCACGCCUGUAAUCCCAGCACUUUGAGAGGCUGAGGCGGGUGGAUCACCUGAGGUCAGGAGUUCAAGACCAGCCUGGCCAACAUGGUGAAACCCCGUCUCUA